AGCGAACGCUGGCGGCAGGCCUAACACAUGCAAGUCGAACGGAUCCUUCGGGAUUAGUGGCGGACGGGUGAGUAACACGUGGGAACGUGCCCUUUGGUUCGGAACAACUCAGGGAAACUUGAGCUAAUACCGGAUGUGCCCUUCGGGGGAAAGAUUUAUCGCCAUUGGAGCGGCCCGCGUCUGAUUAGCUAGUUGGUGAGGUAACGGCCCACCAAGGCGACGAUCAGUAGCUGGUCUGAGAGGAUGAUCAGCCACACUGGGACUGAGACACGGCCCAGACCCCUACGGGAGGCAGCAGUGGGGAAUCUUGCGCAAUGGGCGAAAGCCUGACGCAGCCAUGCCGCGUGAAUGAUGAAGGUCUUAGGAUUGUAAAAUUCUUUCAGCGGGGACGAUAAUGACGGUACCCGCAGAAGAAGCUCCGGCUAACUUCGUG
rnacentral:rRNA from 1 species